rnacentral:lncRNA from 1 species
GGGCAAGGACAGGGAUGACUUGAGGAAUGCCUAGGGCCAAGGAAGACGCCAAAGAGGGUCAGGGCUCUCGGAGAGGAAGCAGACACCGACAGAACUCUCAGGCAGAAUGAGGCUCCUGAAGGCGGAAAGGCAGUUUAAAUAGAUCCUGAAAUCCGACGCUAUAAUGAUCGCGGAUCUCCCCAGGCCGACCCGCGCUCGCCACGUGUCCCACUCACAACUGCAGGCGGCUAAAUGCG